AAUCAACGCUGGCGGCGUGCCUAACACAUGCAAGUCGAACGCGAAAGCCCUUUCGGGGGUAAGUAGAGUGGCGUCCGGGUGAGUAACACGUAGGUAAUCUACCUUCGGGUGGGGAAUAACUCGCCGAAAGGCGAGCUAAUACCGCAUAAUGCAGCGGCACCUAAUGGUGAUUAGUUGUUAAAGCGGGGGAUCGUAAGACCUCGCGCCUGAAGAGGAGCCUGCGGCAGAUUAGCUAGNGGUGAGGUAAUGGCUCACCAAGGCUUCGAUCUGUAGCUGGUCUGAGAGGACGGCCAGCCACACUGGCACUGACACACGGGCCAGACUCCUACGGGAGGCAGCAGUGGGGAAUUUUGGGCAAUGGGCGCAAGCCUGACCCAGCAACGCCGCGUGAGGGAGGAAAUCCUUCGGGAUGUAAACCUCACAAGCAAGGGAAGAGAGCUCAGGACCAAAUAAGUCCUGAGUCCGACGGUACCUUGCGUAAGCCAC
rnacentral:rRNA from 1 species